rnacentral:piRNA from 1 species
UACUUGAAAACUUGGGGGAAAGA